GUUUUGUUCCUGGAGUGAAGGCACCUUACACUCUGGGAGUACAGAGGCAAGAUAAUAGUUUGUGCUUGGAACAGUGCCAGGAAUGUGGUAAGUAAUCUGGAGAUAUUAACCUAUUUAUGUAAUCCUUAUAUCAACUCUGUGAGGUUGAUAUUAUUAUUUCGGUGUUCUAGGACCAGCGGUGUUGGAUAAUUUGUCCAAGACCCUGCAGCUAAUAAAUGGAGGAACUGAGAUGUUCUUGAGUGAGAAACUAGAUUGAUUUUUCAUGUAAGACAUAUUUUACAAUUUUUAAAAAAACAUUAAUGCACAAAGAUAGGCACUUAAGAAAUUGCCAAUAAAUCCUUGCCAACUGAGAGGUGGAUUACUAUUAUUUUUUUU
rnacentral:lncRNA from 1 species